rnacentral:lncRNA from 1 species
UAAUGAAGAGGUCAAAACGACCAAAUUAUCUUUACUUUUUUUAUAAAAAAAUUAAUUUUUUAAUAUAUUUUUGUUAUUUUGAGGAGCAUUUUGGUAUAAAUUAUAAGAAAUUGACAGAAUAGUGAUGGAACCCUGAUUGAGGAGAAUAAAUGCAGCAGUUUAAAAUGUUAAAAGGGUAAAAUAUAAAUUUUUGAAAGUUUGAGAGAAAAAAAAAAGAUAUUUA